GAUGAACGCUGGCGGCGUGCUUAACACAUGCAAGUCGAACGAAGCACUUGACCUUCGGGUCUUGUGACUGAGUGGCGGACGGGUGAGUAACGCGUGGGUAACCUGCCCUGUACAGGGGGAUAACAGUCAGAAAUGACUGCUAAUACCGCAUAAGCAUACGAGGAGGCAUCUCCUGGUGUGAAAAACUCCGGUGGUACAGGAUGGGCCCGCGUCUGAUUAGCUUGUUGGCAGGGUAAAAGCCUACCAAGGCGACGAUCAGUAGCCGGUCUGAGAGGAUGAACGGCCACAUUGGGACUGAGACACGGCCCAGACUCC
rnacentral:rRNA from 1 species